AACGAACGCUGGCGGCGCGCCUAAUACAUGCAAGUCGAGCGAGAAGACGUAGCAAUACGUUUGUAAAGCGGCGAACGGGUGAGGAAUACAUGGGUAACCUACCCUCGAGUGGGGAAUAACUAGCCGAAAGGUUAGCUAAUACCGCGUACGCUCCUUGGACUUCGGUUCAGGGAGGAAAGCGAUACCGUGGGUAUCGCGCUCAUGGAUGGGCUCAUGUCCUAUCAGCUUGUUGGGAGGUAACGGCUCACCAAGGCUUCGACGGGUAGCUGGUCUGAGAGGACGAUCAGCCACACUGGCACUGCGACACGGGCCAGACUCCUACGGGAGGCAGCAGUAAGGAAUAUUGCGCAAUGGGCGAAAGCCUGACGCAGCGACGCCGCGUGGGGGA
rnacentral:rRNA from 1 species